UCCCACGAGGCUUCUGUAGCUCAGUGGUACAGCGUCCGACAGGUGUGCGGAAGGUCAUAGGUCCGACCAAGAGAAGUCCGACUCCUGUUGGGGGAA